GCCCAGCCAGCUCAGUUGAUUAGAGCAUGAGGCUCUUAAUCUCAGGGUCGUGGGAUCGAGCCCCACGUUGGGUG